rnacentral:rRNA from 1 species
CUACGAAAGGUGCAAGCGUUGUUCGGAUUUACUGGGCGUAAAGAGAGUGUAGGUGGUUUAUUAAGUCGGAUGUGAAAUCCCGGGGCUCAACCUCGGAACUGCAUUCGAUACUGAUAGGCUAGAGUUUGGGAGGGGUAAGCGGAAUUCCGUGUGUAGCAGUGAAAUGCGUAGACAUACGGAGGAACACCUGAGGCGAAGGCGGCUUACUGGACCAAUACUGACACUGAGACUCGAAAGCGUGGGUAGCAAACAGGAUUAGAAACCCGGGUAGUCC